ensembl:lncRNA
GUGCUUUUUACACAAUGCUUUUCAGGGAGGAAGCCCUUUACAGUUGUGCAACAAAUACAGUACUAGAACAGACUGAUGGUUUAAGGUAGAUACGAAGAGGCAGGGACAGACUGAUGGUUUAAAGUAGAUAAGAGGAGGCAGGAACAGACUGAGGGUUUAAGGUAGAUACGAAGAGGCAGGGACAGACUGAUGGUUUAAGGUAGAUAAGAAGAGGCAGGGACAGACUGAGGGUUUAAGGUAGAUAAGAAGAGGCAGGGACAGACUGAGGGUUUAAGGUAGAUAAGAGGAGGCAGGGACAGACUGAGGGUUUAAGGUAGAUAAGAGGAACAUAGUAGAAAAAAAGAUCAACCUUUUUCCUCCUUGGACAGGAAGUCCACCUCGCCCUCUCCGGCCAGUACUUCCUGGUACAUGUCCAAUCCCUGGUUCAGCAAGGCGUCCAUGGCCAAUCUGGUGCUCUCGUUGUGGCUGAGGUCAACGUCACCCGACACCAGUGACACAGAUGGGUUUUUCAUCUCCUGUACACGCCGCCUCACCUUUCCCACUGGCUUGGACUUCAGGUACCACUGAACAGACAGGCCGUUGCUCUGCAGGUUCAUAAUGAAGCUGUACAAGGCUAAUCAACAUGUAUUACCUGUCGUUACCUACUGCUGCUACUGAGUGAAAAACCCUUGUGGAGACACAGACAGGGAUGGAGUAGCAGCCGUGAGGUUUCUGAGCCCGGCCCCCCUCAAUCAAUUGUACAGUUGGCUACACCCAUAGAAGUAGAAUUACAUUGACUUGAAUGGGGAUGCCCGGUCUAGUAUUGUUAUUUCUAUGAGGACAUACCACCUGUGGGUUGCAGUGUGCUGGGGGGGACAGGUGAGCUGUUAUGGGAGUGAGAGCGUGACAGAGACCUGCUGUUUAAAGCACUCCCUCCCUUGGUGGGGGAGAGAAGUCUAGUUGAUUGACAGAGGUGAACAUGACUGUCUGAUCAGCUCAGUGGAGGCUGAUAACACCUGACUGCAUUCUUCACAGACUUGUCACUGCAAUGUGAGUCUUAUCACUCUCUCUCACUGUGUCGAAAGUGUUCCACAGCGAUGCUGGCCCAUGUUGACUCCAAUGCUUCCCACAGUUGUCAAGUUGGCUGGGUGUUGAAACCGUUGAGCGUGAAAAAACGCAGCAGCGUUGCAGUUCUUGACAUAGUCAAACUGGAGGCGCUUGACACCUACUGCCAUACCCCGUUCAUUCACCCUCUGAAUGUUACACAUACACA